rnacentral:lncRNA from 1 species
GCCGUCAGUGGCCACCAUCCUCCGCCGGAAGCUCACGGGCAAGCCAUUCCCCACUUCUGAUUACCAUCACUCAGAUCAUUCUCCGACUUGCCGGAGAGAAUCGAGAAGAUUCUGAUAGCCAGUAGAGGCGAAAUUGCGUGCAGGAUCAUAAGGACAGCAAAGAGACUCGGAAUUCCAACCGUCGCCGUCUUCAGCGACGCCGAUAGACACUCACUACACCAAAUCCGCCGACAAGGCCGUAUCGCUCCGGCUCCGGCUCCGGCUCCCUCAACACCUCGUCGAUUCUUGACGCCGCCGUUCGUACUGGUGCGGCAGGUGUUCAGUGCUGGCC